UGACACAGGCCUAGAUGCUGAGGUUCUGCAGGGACCACGGCCCUUGAAGACCCUGACUCCCUGUGCGAGCUUUCCCUCUCGUCUCCUCGUCGCCCUCCACUUGGCAAGCUGGCUGCCCCAGAGCGUGGGUGUGCAUGAUGGAGAUGGGAAGAGAGACAGCAGAGGGCGCCAUGGGAUGGGAUUUCCAGGAUACCCUGGAUAAUCAGGUUUCUUACAUGUGUCAGUGGCUGGUUCUCCUGCAACAGAUGCAACUUCUGAUUCUGGUCCAGACCACCUGCCUCCAACACCAACGCAAAGUGCUCGAUGUAGCGCAGUGAAAGACGGUCCUGCAGGGAGGAGAUCACAUCCUGGAGGAAAUGAGAUGGAAGCAGAUGAGAGACUGGGAUACGCUGCCUCACGUCUAUGGAACAACAGAGAACGGAGUGGGUUAGAAAAUGCCA